AUUUAAUAUUCCUAGAGUGGGCUUAAGGACAAAUGUAUGACAAAGAGAUCUACAUGGCUUUUAUAGCUUUAUCAACUAAUGUAAGGUACUUCACCACUUUCUGUGUUGGUCCUUAGUAGUAAAAUGAGAGAAAUAUUAUAAAAUUUAUAAAUUUCUAUGAACUUUUGAGGCAUGGGUGCUAUAUAUAAUCAUUGUCAUCUUCACACAGAGUUUAUUAAUGGCAUUACUGCAUGCAGCAAUAAAUUAGGGGUUAUAUUUGGCAAAUAGCACAAGUAGA
rnacentral:lncRNA from 1 species